CUAUCAUGCAAGUCGAACGCUUCUUUCUUAUCGAACUUCGGUUCACCAAGAAAGAGGAGUGGCGGACGGGUGAGUAACACGUGGGUAACCUGCCCUUUAGCGGGGGAUAACACUUGGAAACAGGUGCUAAUACCGCAUAAUCUUUUUCCUCGCAUGAGAGAAAAGUGAAAGACGCUUUUGCGUCACUAAAGGAUGGACCCGCGCUGCAUUAGCUAGUUGGUGAGGUAACGGCUCACCAAGGCCACGAUGCAUAGCCGACCUGAGAGGGUGAUCGGCCACACUGGGACUGAGACACGGCCCAGACUCCUACGGGAGGCAGCAGUAGGGAAUCUUCGGCAAUGGACGAAAGUCUGACCGAGCAACGCCGCGUGAGUGAAGAAGGUUUUCGGAUCGUAAAACUCUGUUGUUAGAGAAGAACAAGGAUGAGAGUAGAAUGUUCAUCCCUUGACGGUAUCUAACCAGAAAGCCACGGCUAACUACGUGCCAGCAGCCGCGGUAAUACGUAGGUGGCAAGCGUUGUCCGGAUUUAUUGGGCGUAAAGCGAGCGCAGGCGGUUUAUUAAGUCUGAUGUGAAAGCCCCCGGCUUAACCGGGGAGGGUCAUUGGAAACUGGUAGACUUGAGUGCAGAAGAGGAGAGUGGAAUUCCAUGUGUAGCGGUGAAAUGCGUAGAUAUAUGGAGGAACACCAGUGGCGAAGGCGACUCUCUGGUCUGUAACUGACGCUGAGGCUCGAAAGCGUGGGGAGCGAACAGGAUUAGAUACCCUGGUAGUCCACGCCGUAAACGAUGAGUGCUAAGUGUUGGAGGGUUUCCGCCCUUCAGUGCUGCAGCAAACGCAUUAAGCACUCCGCCUGGGGAGUACGGCCGCAAGGCUGAAACUCAAAGGAAUUGACGGGGGCCCGCACAAGCGGU
rnacentral:rRNA from 1 species